rnacentral:rRNA from 1 species
UGCUCUAGUAACGGCGAGUGAAGCAGCAAUAGCUCAAAUUUGAAAUCUGGCGUCUUCGGCGUCCGAGUUGUAAUUUGUAGAGGAUGCUUCUGGGCAGCCAACCGGCCUAAGUUCCUUGGAACAGGACGUCAUAGAGGGUGAGAAUCCCGUAUGCGGCCGGAAGGGCACCCUACACGUAGCUCCUUCGACGAGUCGAGUUGUUUGGGAAUGCAGCUCUAAAUGGGAGGUAAAUUUCUUCUAAAGCUAAAUAUUGGCCAGAGACCGAUAGCGCACAAGUAGAGUGAUCGAAAGAUGAAAAGCACUUUGGAAAGAGAGUUAAAAAGCACGUGAAAUUGUUGAAAGGGAAGGGAUUGCAACCAGACUUGCUCGCGGUGUUCCGCCGGUCUUCUGACCGGUUCAUUCGCCGCGUUGCAGGCCAGCAUCGUCUGGUGCCGCUGGAUAAGACUUGAGGAAUGUGGCUCCCUCGGGAGUGUUAUAGCCUCUUGUGAUGCAGCGAGCGCCGGGCGAGGUCCGCGCUUCGGCUAGGAUGCUGGCGUAAUGGUUGUAAUCCGCCCGUCUUGAAACACGGACCAAGGAGUCUAACAUCUAUGCGAGUGUUCGGGUGUCAAACCCCUACGCGUAAUGAAAGUGAACGGAGGUGAGAACCGCAAGGUGCAUCAUCGACCGAUCCUGAUGUCUUCGGAUGGAUUUGAGUAUGAGCAUAGCUGUUGGGACCCGAAAGAUGGUGAACUAUGCCUGAAUAGGGUGAAGCCAGAGGAAACUCUGGUGGAGGCUCGCAGCGGUUCUGACGUGCAAAUCGAUCGUCAAAUUUGG